GAUCAGCAAGAGACAAAAAACUUCAGGAUAGGGACACCCCCCCCCCCCCUCCCUUUUUAAUAUAAAUGUCUACCGUCUGUCGCUUAUUUCACACAGGUCACAAGAUCUGUGAUGAGGAAAGAGUUACCAAGACCUGUAGCGAGGAGUCCAGGAUUGCCUCGACCAAAAAUGGGGAGAGAAGAGAGGUGACAUCUCGCCCCAUGCAGACUGUGGGUGACGGUCAGAGAAGAGCUUAACAGACCUGCCUCUCCCUGGCUUUUCCCAACUCUGGCAGGCCGUUAAGGAACGUGUAUCUCUUAUCCACCUCUCCACCCCGCCAUCUCCAUCUUGUCCCACUGCCUUCUCCUGGUUCUGUACCAGCAGGAAGAAAUAUUUUUGAUGGCCCUGCUGUGGACAUCGGGAGUUCUUAACUGCUGUAGCUGCGAGGCUGGUCUGGCAAGGCGCAGAAACUACUUCACUGACCUUCACGGCCAGCCAAAAAUAGAUCCACAGUGCCUUGUCAGAGCAGCAGGACUUGGAAAAGCACCCGGUAAACACAUCAUCAGCGCUGCAACCGGCACUGGCUGAUGAGUGGAACCCGGCGGUCUGUCAGCACGGGGAGGCCAAGCUGCUGGGCGCUGACGCCAUCGGAGCUGGGGAUUUGGGAAGGCACAAAGCAGGAGUCGAAGUGAAAAAUGAAGGAGAUGGUGUUGAAAGGAAAAGGAGACUGGGAAAAAGGUCUGUCAGCCAAGUUCACAGUGUGGAAAUAUAAUACACGUUUCAAUGUGAAGUCUAGUGGUCUACGUUUCCCAUUCACAAUGUUUUAAUUUGAACACAAGUGAUUUUGUGUUCAAACACAAAACACAAGCCCUGCUGAUUCAGUGCUCUGUCCUCUAACCACAGCAUCUGUUUCAUGGGUUAAAACGAUCUGGAUCACUUCACUGAUCCAUGUGGCACCAUGGUUCUUGGACUGAGACCACUGUGGAGGACAAGGCAUUGUGACACAAAGCUGGAAGAAUGGAUCAACUUCUUAAUGUGACUUUGAUCCUGCAGAAGAUUUUGUGGAAAUACAUUCUUAGUAGCAGGAACAUUUUACAGCAUCUUCGAAUUACAUUUUGAUUUUUGUUUGUACUAUUUUUCUCCAUUAAUUCGGUCAAGUGAGAUCCCCACUGAAAAUUUCAUUAGCUCGUAACUGCUCAAGUCUCAUCAAAUCUACUUAAAUUGUUUUUGUUAAUGUGUUUGGUCACUGAGCAUGAAAAAAGAACAUACUACUGUGUUCAAAAUUCUCCCUGAACUCGGUGCAAAUGUCACAGUCGAAUACAGUGGAGUGCAAAUGCAAGUAUAGCAUCUUUCUAAGAAUUUAUUGGGGCAUCUUUGGGAGACAGCAUCGAAAUGUUAUAAAACUCAUGCACCCAUAAGAAAUUUUUAAUUCCCAGUUUUUAAAAUGUAAGACUCUGUUAGAUGUUGCUUUUGUUCGCCAAAAGUUAGUACACUGAACCUCACUGCCUCAAAAACUCUUGCUAAACAUAUUUAAUGCUG